GAUGAACGCUGGCGGCGUGCCUAAUACAUGCAAGUCGAGCGAACAGAUAAGGAGCUUGCUCCUUUGACGUUAGCGGCGGACGGGUGAGUAACACGUGGGUAACCUACCUAUAAGACUGGAAUAACUCCGGGAAACCGGGGCUAAUGCCGGAUAACAUUUAGAACCGCAUGGUUCUAAAGUGAAAGAUGGUUUUGCUAUCACUUAUCGAUGGACCCGCGCCGUAUUAGCUAGUUGGUAAGGUCACGGCUUACCACGGCAACGAUACGUAGCCGACCUGAGAGGGGGAUCGGCCACACUGGAGCUGAGACACGGUCCAGACGCCUACGGGAGGCAGCAGUAGGGAAUCUUCCGCAAUGGGCGAAAGCCUGACGGAGCAACGCCGCGCGAGUGAUGAAGGUCUUCGGAUCGUAAAACUCGGUUAUUAGGGAAGAACAAAUGUGUAAGUAACUGUGCACGUCUUGACGGUACCUAAUCAGAAAGCCACGGCUAACUACGUG
rnacentral:rRNA from 1 species